GUUAAGACAGAGCUGCAGGCUCGGAGGGGACACGCGCUAAAAAUGAAGAGAAUGUCAUGUCAACUACUGAGGAACUAUGGGGAAUUAAGCAAAUCUGAUUAAACGGACCAGCCAGCACCUCCCCAGGGACAGAUGUGUACGACUAGGACCCUUCUGAGUGUGCCGAGUAAGUGCACUUACUCAGACUCGCUGUGUUCGGGGCGUACAGCCUGCCAGGGAACAGGAGUGCCAGGCCCUGUCCUUGGGAAACUUCCAGCGCAGGUGGCAAGAGUGGGAAGUGAUCUUCGGUCAGUCUCCAUGUCACAAUGUGCCAGACAGUCAAACCUCUGGCGAAUUCUGUUCCCAUGUGCUUGCUGGAUGAUACGGAAAUGGACUGCAACUUCACCUGGCCACAGGUGUCCCUGUGCCCCCUGGCAUCUCCAGGAGCUGCCCCGGCCUCUGUCCCUUCCUGCACGCACCCCUCUACUGCAGCACGGAGCCCUUGCUGUCCCCUCCACCCGGAAGGCGAAUUCUCUUUCUCCAGCUCACUGCUUGGCUGUUCAGGUCUCAUCUUAAAAUAUCACCUUCUCCGAGCUGCCUUCCCUGAACACCUGAGCCAUCGACUGUCCCUGUGAUCAUUCUUGGUGGCAGCACCUUGUUAAUUUUUGGUGGCCUAGUGGUUACAUUCGGGGCACUCCUCUUUAGCGCCCAGGUUCAGUUCCCGGAUGUGGACCUACACCGCUUUGUUAGCGGCCCUGCUGUGCUGGUGGCCCACAUACUAAGGAAAAAGAGGAAGGCUGGCACAGAUGUUAGCUCAGGGUGAAUCUUCCUCAGCAAAAAAAUUAAAAAAUGAACUCACAGCGUUUGCUUCCUGAUGUGCUCAGUGCCCCGCCUGCCCCCCCAUCAGACUGGGCGCCCCAGGGUGGGCUGUCUUUCUCAUGGCGGAUUCUGAGGUCUAGCCCAGGGCUGGGGACACCGCGGGCGCUUGAUCAAUCUUGACCUUAUGAACACGCUUUCAAGUGGUGCCCUCAGUUUAGGAGG
rnacentral:lncRNA from 1 species